rnacentral:lncRNA from 1 species
AUGCUCCUCCGUGGCCUUCAGUUCAGCUCCUGCCUUCAGGCUCCUGCUUGAGUGCCUGCUCUGACUUCCUUUCAUGGUGGACGGUGAUUGGGAUGAGUUGGCCCAAAUGAACCUCUUUCGGGCUGCUUUUGGCUGCCAACCCCAAGUGGCAAUUGGCUGUGGUUCCCUAUCCCAGCAAUAGAAACCUAACUAAGGCAAGAGCCGAGCACAGCAUGGAAAUAUAAACUUUGUUCAAAAAAGCAGGGAAACCAUGUCUCUAAAGAUCCCAAAAUGUAAAACUCUUACCUGGGACACAGCUGCUACCCAGGACUUAGAAGAUUAAAGCAAGAGAGUCAUGAAUUUAAGGCUAGCUAUCCUGGUCUACAUAGUGAGUUUAAGACCAGGCAGCCUCGUCUACACAGUGAGUUCAGGGCUAACCAGUAUGGUCUACACAGUGAAUUCAAGCUGGACUGUCUCAAAAACAACCCAACCAGAAAGAAGAAAAGGUAAAACUUUUCCUUUUUUUUUUUUUUUUCAUGGUUGCCCUCUCUGACAUGGUGGGGAUUUUUUGUUUGUUUCUUUCUUUUCUUUUCUUUUUUUCCUUUUAAUUUGCUAUUCAGUGUCAUUACACGUAAAGAAAAUCAAAUUUUUAUAUUGGAAUGAUCUUUACUAUUCAUCUGUGCUUUGUGCAAUGCCAGUUUUAAAUGAGAAUAUGACUAUUUAACUUGCAUGUGGAAUCAAAAAUUACACAAUUCAUAUUUUGUAGUUCCUACAUGCAUACAUAAUGUAUUCCUACUGGAACAGUGGGAAUGCUGCACAAAUGAACUGUUUUUAUUUAACUUCUUUAUAUGCAUAUUUUAUAUGCAGAUGCCAUAUGUGCACUUUCUACAGGGCUUUCUGAUAAGUGGGGAGAGAGGAAGGAGCUGGGGGUCACCCUAUUCUUUCCUUUGUGCCAGUUCUAGCGUAAGUGAUUGGCUUAUGACAGAGAACUAACAGAAAUAAGGGAUAUGAUCUGGUUCUAUGGGAUAUUUGUGUUACUUAGUCCCUACCACCCCCCGAAUUUGAAGACGUUUCUGGUUUAAGAGUGUGGCUUCUUGGGUCCGCUAAUGUGUCCACUUCAUUAUAGACACGACACCUUCACCUACUCUCAUUGAACUCUGGGUCAUGGAUCUGCCAUAAGUCUGUGCUUGCAGGAUAUUGUGAAUUCAAAUGUGAAUGGGGCUUCAAAGAGCAGUACUGCACUUAUCUUACACACAUGUUAUAUGCUGUCAUCAGGCUUCACCUACAGCAACAGAAGAAUAUGAAAACAAGCACUGAAUGCUUUCAAGCAAGGAUCCAGGCAGCUUCAUAAGUGGUCUGUCUCUGAAAUCAACCCUAAAUGAGUCUGUAGGAGAGGACCGAAUGGAUACAUCUAAGUAUACAAAACUGGGUGCAGACUCUGAGACGAAGUCUAGAAAGAAAGGAUAUUCAGCAAAAGGUGUGGUGGACCCAGACACCCUAGCAUAGAGGUGCAGGAAUCACAAAU